GGAUGUGAGGGUGAUCUGGCUGCGACAUCUGUCACCCCAUUGAUCGCCAGGGUUCAUUCGGCUGAUCUGGCUGGCUAGGCGGGUGUCCCCUUCCUCCCUCACUGCUCCAUGUGCGUCCCUCCCGAAGCUGCGCGCUUGGUCAAAGAGGACGACCAUCCCCGAUAGAGAAGGACCUUUCUUCGGUCAAGGGUAUACGAGUAGCUGAGCUCCCCUGCUAGAACCUCCAAACAAGCUCUCAAGGAAGAGGAAAGUUGGGUUUCUGGGACUGUAAGAAAAACAUUUUUAAGGUGUCUGGUAUAUACAUCAUAA
rnacentral:snRNA from 1 species